rnacentral:misc_RNA from 1 species
AGCUAACAAAUCAGCGCACACCGCCUCAAAAUAAGGACAGCGUCCAGAUUACGUGACCGACUCUGAUCGGCUUCCAGAUUAACCGACUAUGUGAUUAAAAAUAAAUCCUAUACGCAAUCACAAUUUAAUCUCAGCCUUUCAUCUCAUUCUUCCUUUCUAUAAAACCUCCGUAUUUUCAAACGCUUCGGGUUAUGGGCGCUCUGUGAUUUUGGUUUUUUGUCUAGUUUCUUCUGGCAAUUUGUUUUUCCUCGUCUGUUCGAUCUCUGUAUCUUUUUGGUUUGAUUGAUAUUUUAUGUAGUUUGCUAUCGGUUUGUGUAUGUUUUGGUUCGUAUGUGCGUAGAAUAUUUCGAUGCGAAGAGAACAGUUGGUAUUGAUUUGAUUGGUAUUGCAAAUCGGUGAGGGGUGUUUCUUCUUUUCUCCAUACCUGGUUUUUGUUUCCAAGUUAUUUGCUGAAGAUCUAAUGUCUAGACUUAUUCCGAUGGCUUUCUUGGUUGGUUUGGAUUUGUUAGAUUGUUUACAUUUUGGUAGAAAUCUUUCUGGUUGUUUUGUGGUGCUAGGUUUUGGAAUAAGCGGAAUCGAAGCUUGAGUACAAAGGAUUAUUCGUGGUUAUUUUGGCUUUCUGUUUGAUUGAGGCAAAUUGUGUUUUGAUAUUGCAUUGCCAUGUAGUUUCGCUCGGAGUCUGAUGAUUGUUUAAUUGAGUCUGAUGAUUGUUUAAUUGAUUUCAGCUCUAGUAGGAAACAGAGUUUGAUUCAGUUUGAUUCAUGAUAUUUUAAGGUGUGCUACGACAGUGGUGGCGGUGGUUUGAUAAUCGAUUUCUUUAGUUUUGGAUUAUUCAAUUUUUCCCCUUCAUAUUUUUUAAUCCAACACGUUACCACAAAGACCUUCAAUUUUGGUGGUUCCUAAAUUAGUUUCUUCUCUCUUUUG